UAACCUAAGUUGCUGAUAUGCUACUGAUAAGAAACAGAAACAAGCACUCUAAACUCCUCUCUAGCGAUCGAUUUUCUGUUUAUGAACAGGUUUUAGAUAUGUUCAGUCCUAGAUGUGUAAAACAGUUUCAUGGUAAGAGGCAGUCCUAGCACGAAGGGCCAGUCAAUGAGCUAUAUGGGAUGAAUUUCAGUCAUUUACACUCCAACUGCAUCCGAAUGAGAUGACCUAGGCUCUGUAUUUUUGGACGUAAAGCCUGGUCUCACACAUGUUGGCAUGGACUGGUAGAUGUAGACUUACAGAGCUAGCUCAUCAGAGCACAGAGAGUUCUAGAAUUUCCCUCAUAUUGUCCCCUGCAUGGAUGCAGAGGAUAGGGAAUCAUUACAUAUUUUAAUAUUUUCUCUGGCAUCCAUUCAACUUACCUGCUGUUCCAAGGUCCUCGGAUCAAUAAAAGUCACCAGAUCUAUAGAAAAAUAACCAACCACAUCUCUCACUUGGCAGGCCUUUCCAAUUCAGAGGCACAAAGAACUGAGAACUUGGGGAUUCACUGAGGUCUGAGGCACAGUGGUACCAGAAGAAAUGAAGGGACCUUCGGGAUGAAACUGGUCCCCUGUGGACAGCACCUUGAUCUCUCCACUGGCCUCAAUCAGUAUGUCUACUGUCAGCUUGGUGACACUGUCUGCAGGAGGGGUUGGUACAUUGGCGCUGUUGAAGACCCGUUUACUUCCAGACUUGGCACUGUAAAGAUGAACCAGUUCAGGCUCCGAGCCCAGGAUGGGAACAUGUAACAUAUCAGCCACAGCCAGAUCAUCUCUGUGGAGGAGUCCGCCCAUAAUGUAGGCCUCUGUGCCUUGGAUGAGAUUUUUUAUUCUUUUGAUUGCCUUGGGACUGUACAGCAGGUGAGUGGCUAGGCACAUAUGAUGGGUCUGGGGAAAGAGCACAUUAUUCUUGUUAAAAGGUGUGCUUUUCCUAGUCCAGGCACCUAAUUUAUAAUGCUGCACAUAAUAAAUACAUUAUUAAUAGCAGACUGGGUUAUGACCUAUCCUGUUG
rnacentral:lncRNA from 1 species